UUUACACCAGUUGCUAUGAAAACACUUAAUUUCUCAAUAAUUGUGUCGUUGAUCAUUUGCAUCUGCAAUAGUUAUGCAGAUAAUCAAGCAGAUUUAAAGCCAUGCUGUACACCAUGUGUCAACCCAUGCAUCCUCAAAUGUCCCUGCAUCUUCCCUAUAUACAAUGAAAUAAUACGACCGAGGAAUCUAACGAAUUACCCAACUGGAAAACCAUGCGGACCAUGUCCACAGUACAUGUGCAAAGAGAACCAUGAUUUCAAUUGCCCGACGCCAUUGAGAAGAUGUACGCCGGAAUUAAUACGGAAUUUGAUCGAUUAAUUGCCGA